rfam:Drosophila ficusphila unplaced genomic scaffold scf7180000453809, whole genome shotgun sequence
CGAAUAAGUGAAUAAAGAGAGCUGUCCGUCGACAGUCCAGAAAUCCAUUUAAAACUGUCAUGGAAUUGCUCUCUUUGUAUAAUAUUCG